UGAAUCCUACGGGGCGCAGCAGUGGGGAAUAUUGCACAAUGGGGGAAACCCUGAUGCAGCAACGCCGCGUGAGUGAAGAAGUAUUUCGGUAUGUAAAGCUCUAUCAGCAGGGAAGAGAAUGACGGUACCUGACUAAGAAGCCCCGGCUAACUACGUGCCAGCAGCCGCGGUAAUACGUAGGGGGCAAGCGUUAUCCGGAUUUACUGGGUGUAAAGGGAGCGUAGACGGCGAAGCAAGUCUGAAGUGAAAACCCAGGGCUCAACCCUGGGACUGCUUUGGAAACUGUUUUGCUAGAGUGUCGGAGG
rnacentral:rRNA from 1 species